ensembl:lncRNA
AGUUCUCGAAGUUGACGUGUUGGAAGCAGGGAAAAAAAAAGGAUCUGAGCGACUUUUACACGGCGCAGGCUGUGACGGCCAGAUGACCGGGUCAGAACAUCUCCAGAACAGCAGGUCUUGUGGGGGGAUCCAGGUACGCAGUGGGUAGUACCUAGACCCCUCUCAAUCCGAUCGAGCGUGUGUGGGAUGUUCUGGGCAAACAAGUCCGAGCCAUGGAGGCCCCACGUCAGAACGUACAGGACUUGGUCUUCAGACCUCCGGAGGUCUUGUGGAGUCCAUGGUUCGAUGGGUGAGAGAGCUGUUUUGGUGGGAUCUACACGGGGUGGUUUUAAUGUUAUGGCUGAUCGAUGUGUGUGUGUGUGUGUGUUUUCUAAAAUCUGUCAUAUUUUAGUUGAAAAACUUUUCAGCAGUCCAAAUGUCCAAAUGAAUUAGAAUUUUCAUUCAGUUUCUUUGAUUAAUCAAUUCGCCAGACGAUCUGGGUCUGUUUUACGGUGACGUACGGAUGUGAGGUCGGAUUUUUGUGAACGGAUCGCGUUAAUUAAAAAGCGCAGAAACCGUGUCGGAGAGGGCUAAUCGGAUUAAGGGGAAACGUCGAGGCGGAAUUGUAUUAAUUAUGUCAUGUUGAAUGACGGUGACGUGAUAUUUAAUGAACGGGAACGGACGACUGUCACGUUGCGGUGUCUUGAAUUUGUUCCACUUUUAAAAAAAUAAAUAAAUAAAUGAGUAAAAACGCACGGCUGUGAACACAGGAAAGCUGGAGACGUUUGCCGUGUAAAUCACUUCCUGUCUUCGGUAUCUGAUGUAUGACUUUCUUAAUGAUGGUUAAGGUUGGCUGUGAUUGGCUUUCUCUCGCAGAGCGCGUUAAUCCACAGAGACGCUUUCUGCUUGCUCUUAAGUGGCAGCGUGUCGAUGUCGGGACCCAGGAGGCCUUCGUUUGAAAUGGUCAGGAAACAAGGCUGAAAUGUAAUUAACCCUCAUCACAAUGAGGUCACAGACGAACCUUACUGAUCCUCCCCAGGUCAUCGCUAAUUAGCGCAAACUUAGCAUUAUCGUCUGCUAAAUGCCAGAACGCCAUAAUCACUAAAUAACAAUAAAGGUGAUUGCUUUGACUCUUUUUUCUUCUUCUCAUAUUCAGCUCACACAGUGGGUGGUGUCGCCUAUUUUUGGCUCGUUUCUUUUUGUUUGUUUGUAUUUUUGGAAAUGUUUCCCAGCGGAUCAGUCUGAAGAUGUCUUUUUGGAGAAGGUGAUCCGGGCUUUUUUUCUGUCAUCGUCGACUACAGACAAUGACUCAGUCGAUGAAGAUGUGCUUGGACAUGUAAUUACGAUCGGUGAAGUAGGCUCGAGAUGCAGAAGCCGCACGGAUAACACAGGAAUGUUAAGAGAUGAUAAAUGGAUUAUUUUUUAAAAAUCAUUAUCAUGUACGGCUGUUCUGAUCCAGAUAGGACUAGUGUAUGGCUGUUCUGAUCCAGACAGGACUAGUGUAUGGCUGUUCUGAUCCAGACAGGGUGUUCUGAUCCAGACAGGACUAGUGUAUGGCUGUUCUGAUCCAGACAGGACUAGCGUGCGGCCGUUCUGAUCCAGACAGGACUAGUGUAUGGCUGUUCUGAUCCAGACAGGACUAGUGUAUGGCUGUUCUGAUCCAGACAGGACUAGUGUAUGGCUGUUCUGAUCCAGACAGGACUAGUGUAUGGCUGUUCUGAUCCAGACAGGACUAGUGUAUGGCCGUUCUGAUCCAGACAGGACUAGCGUGCGGCCGUUCUGAUCCAGACAGGACUAGCGUGCGGCCGUUCUGAUCCAGACAGGACUAGCGUGCGGCCGUUCUGAUCCAGACAGGACUAGUGUACAUAAAAGUACGUAAAAAUUCCCCAAAAUAUUAUUUCAAUCCAAAAUCCAGCGCUAAUGGUUUCAAUCCAAGCACUGAUCUGAGCAGUUGAAGGUUAAGAGCCUCAUCCAUUUCUUCUGUCCACCAAAUAUGUAGUGGAUUUCUGUUGGCUCUUGAACAGGAACAGGAAUCUGAGGCUCCAGUGGACACAGGCUCGAGAUGAAUUGGACAAAGACCAGACGACGUUGUUGCAGUCUUUAACUGUCCAGUUUUAUAGGCAGCUCUUUGGAUUGUCCUGAAAGCCAUUCUCAAUGUAGGACCUACUGUAAUACCAGAGGAAAGAUGUGUGGAGAUAUUGUGUUGAACUCCCAGGAUUCUACAUUCGAUGUGGACUGUAGAGAUCGGUUGGUAGCUUCUUGGCAAUGAUUUUUGCUGUUCUUCAUGUAUUUGGGAUUUAGCUCACAUCUAUGAUGUAAAAUUGAGUCAAUCAGGCUGGAGCUGGAGAUCCCAUAUGCUUCAUGAUCAUACUGUAAUAUCCAGCGGUGUUUGCGCGUUUCAACCCCUACAAGACUUUUUCCGGUUCAGGAACCUCAGAAAGCCUCGGGGCGACUUUGAUGACUUUCGCGACUUUCAUGACUUUCCUUUCCAGGCUGUGAGCAGUGCGCAUUUUACAGCUUGUUUACGAUCGCUCUUUUGUGCCUCCUCCAAAAGGAGACGUGGUUGGGUGUGACAGAUAAAGAUGAAUUUCUGCACAGCUCUGCCUUGACAGAUUACACUUCAGCUGUUUCCACUCAAAGCUGUGGGAUUUUGCUUUGCCACUACACUGAAAUAUCGGCUAACGGUUAGGGAUGUCGCUAACCGAAUACGAACACAUUCUCAACAUACGUUCUUAACAUAUACACAUUUCUUUUAGGAAAAAGAAAACCAAAAACUACAAACGUCCAAACCUACAAUCAUGAAUGCGCCACAACAAAAUUUAGCACAUCUACGCCUGGGGUUCCCAAACUAGGGGUCUUGACCCAUCAUGGGAUCCCUAUGGUUUACGAAUAAUCUUGUGAAAGAAACUCACAGCCUACUAUUGUGUUUCAUUCAUUUAUUCUACGAUUUAAUAUUAGAAAUAUCGGCGAUGGAUUUUGUACACUGAUCUUUUGAAAUGUUACUGGGUGUUACAUUCAGACAAGCUGCAUUUAAACUCAUAGCGUACAUGUCGUCCGAGUCUUUUCACUAUCCGGACAUGCUGCGCUAGCGUAGUUCAGCGAUAAAAAUCAACAAAUUUCCCAGUCCAUCUACCGCCACUAAACAAAUCAGCGUCGUAUCUCAACACGCAUACUUGCGUAUGAUUCUAGACCGUUACUGAGCACUAACCCUAACCCUAUUUUCUUAUUACAGUGUAGUGUUCGGAAUGUAACUAACGAGCCUUAAAACAUACCGA